ACACGAUCAAAUUAUCAAAAUUAAACUUAUAUAUAGAACAAAACAAAUGAGAAAUCGCCUUUAAAAAAAAGAAAAAAAAAAAAGAUUGAGAGCAGUUUGAUGUACAAACAACCCGCACCAUUGCCAGGAUUCGGAAAAUGACCACCCCAAGAAAAGAAAAUCCUUUGGUCACAUGUAACAUCACUGCAUUCAUGGGCAGUGAGCGUUAACUUAUAAAUAGAUUCCUCUGAAGGGUGUGAUGAGCAUCCUACAGGCCACGGCCACAAAGAAAUCACAAAUUCACAAG